UACAGAGGGUGCGAGCGUUAAUCGGAAUUAUUGGGCGUAAAGGGCGCGUAGGUGGUUUGUUAAGUUAUAUGUGAAAGCCCCGGGCUUAACCUGGGAACUGCAUGUAAUACUGGCAGACUAGAGUACUGUAGAGGGUAGUGGAAUUUCCGGUGUAGCGGUGAAAUGCGUAGAUAUCGGAAGGAACACCAGUGGCGAAGGCGGCUACCUGGACAGAUACUGACACUGAGGCGCGAGAGCGUGGGUAGCAAACAGG
rnacentral:rRNA from 1 species